rnacentral:rRNA from 1 species
GUAGGGAGCGAGCGUUGUCCGGAUUCAUUGGGCGUAAAGAGCGCGCAGGCGGUUUGGUAAGUCGGAUGUGAAAACCCGGGGCUCAACCCCGGGCGUGCAUCCGAUACUGCCCGACUAGAGGUAGGUAGGGGAGAUCGGAAUUCCUGGUGUAGCGGUGAAAUGCGCAGAUAUCAGGAGGAACACCGGUGGCGAAGGCGGAUCUCUGGGCCUUACCUGACGCUCAGGCGCGAAAGCUAGGGGAGCGAACAGGAUUAGAUACCCUGGUAGUCCUAGCCGUAAACGUUGGGUGCUAGGUGUGGGCGGAUAUCGACCCCGUCCGUGCCGAAGCUAACGCAUUAAGCACCCCGCCUGGGGAGUACGGCCGCAAGGCUAAA